GGAAUUGUAGCUCAGUGGUAGAGCACUUGUUUAGCACAUGUGAGACACUGGGUUUGAUCCUCAGCACCA
rnacentral:tRNA from 1 species